rnacentral:rRNA from 1 species
GAUGAACGCUAGCGACAGGCCUAACACAUGCAAGUCGAGGGGUAACAGUGGUGCUUGCACCAGCUGACGACCGGCGCACGGGUGCGUAACGCGUAUGCAACCUACCUUACACUGGGGGAUAGCCCGAAGAAAUUCGGAUUAAUACCCCAUAACAUUGCGAGAUCACAUGUUUUUGCAAUUAAAACUCCGGUGGUGUAAGAUGGGCAUGCGUGACAUUAGAUAGUUGGUGAGGUAACGGCUCACCAAGUCGACGAUGUCUAGGGGUUCUGAGAGGAAGGUCCCCCACACUGGUACUGAGACACGGACCAG